AGUAGAAUGGCUAAAUCAUAUGGUAAGUUGGUGUUUAAUAUUUUAAGAAACUGCCAAACUUUUUUUUAAAAGUAGUUGUACCAUUCUGUAUUCUCAUCAGUAGU
rnacentral:pre_miRNA from 1 species